GAACCAAUGCUCUUAAGGCCAAGAACGACACCGACGCCAAUGAUGUGGCCGACACUGCCACAUGCCAAAGUAUCAGCAAGGGUGAAACCCGCUGGGUCACCCGUCUGUAACCCGGAGUCCCUCGCCUCCAGCUUCAGCCCCGCCGUUGAUUUUCUGUUUGCGGAUGGAGCCAAUCCGAACCGUCCAGCGAACAGCAUCAGGCUUGUCGAUAUCACCAUUAUCAAGUUGGUGGGUGAGCCAAUGUAAUCACCACAACGAGCACUGAGAGCGCCGCCGCCCCUCCGCCUCAGCGGUUGCACCGCCACCAGGCUGCGAACCGGAGCCACUGAAACAGUGGGCCUGAGCCCAUUAAACUGAGGGAUCGAAG
rnacentral:misc_RNA from 1 species